rnacentral:lncRNA from 1 species
AAAAGUUCAAGCUGUGAAUAGUGUCAGAGUUUACCAGCCUGUUCUGGAAAUUUGCAGCUUUGGGACUAGAAUGUGAAUUUGUGGACUAUUCUUUUUGGAGGAUCUCUGAAUCCUGUCUGAUGGGGUGAUCCUGGUUUGUAUCUCCUGAGCAUGGACAAGCUCCCAGAAGUGCAGCUGUUGAAGUUCAUGAAGAUUGCCAAUAUGUUUGGAAAUGCUAAAUGUUAUCUCCCUGGAUGAAUUUACUUCUUCUGGAUGGGAUUUUGGUGGACUUGAUGCCAUCCUGCGUCCCUGCUGAGUUCAGGGGAAGCUUUUUCUCAGCCGCAUCGACAGCAAGCAGAGA